GCCACCGCCAUCUGCUGCCGGAAGGAAUUCGUGAGUCUUGUAUGCCAAUUCGGGACAUUUCUUUCUUCUUGGCAAUGGCGGUUCUAAGAAUGAAAUUCAAUCUAGGACGACUUUCGGAUUCCAAUCUCUGGUGCACGACAGCGAGAGAGCGCAAAUUGUUUCGUUUAAUUGCGCGCUUAAUGAUCGACGUUUAUCAAGGGAUGGUUCAAUGGGACUUAGAGUAUUGAAACGCGCAUAAGCUCCAUCGAUAAAAUGUCAAGCAGAGCGAGAGGGAACGAAAAAUGUUAAACUUGGAAAUAAACAAAAUCGAGUCGCUAAAAUAAUAAUAAUAUCGUGAAAAAUUCUUACAUACAUAGAUUCUAUAUAUAAGGAUAAACAUGCACAAUUGAAGUUUGUCGAAAAAUUUUACAAGAGAGAGAGCAAUAAGUCGAUAAUAUGUCUCAAGCAUAAAAUGAUGAUGGGAAAACAUUAAUAUUAUCGUUAGGAAAAGGCCUAAUUUAUAAUAUUAUAUUUAUGUAUGUACGUCGAACAACAGCUCUUUUGCACUACCUACGUAAAUAAAGAAAAUGAGUGAGAACGA
rnacentral:lncRNA from 1 species